rnacentral:ncRNA from 2 species
CUGUAAGCCGUUGAAGGUCAAGGUGUGAACCAGGCUGGAGGUAUCAGAAGUGCGAAUGCUGACAUGAGUAACGAUAAAGGGAGUGAAAAACUCCCUCGCCGGAAACCCAAGGGUUCCUGUCCAACGUUAAUCGGGGCAGGGUUAGUCGGCCCCUAAGGCGAGGCUGAAAAGCGUAGUCGAUGGGAAACAGGUUAAUAUUCCUGUACUUGUUUGUAGUGCGAUGGGGAGACGGAGAAGGCUAGGCCAGCGCGGCGUUGGUUGUCCGUGUUUAAGCUAGUAGGCAGAGAUCUUAGGCAAAUCCGGGAUCUUAAUGUCGAGAGGUGAUGACGGUGACUCUACGGAGUCCGAAGUGGUCGAUGCCAUGCUUCCAGGAAAAUCCUCUAAGCUUCAGCUACAAAGAAACCGUACUCUAAACCGACACAGGUGGGUAGGUAGAGAAUACCAAGGCGCUUGAGAGAACUCGGGUGAAGGAACUAGGCAAAAUGGCACCGUAACUUCGGGAGAAGGUGCGCCGGUUUUGGUGGUUCAAUCGAACAUAAGCUGAGACCGGUCGAAGAUACCAGGUGGCUGCGACUGUUUAUUAAAAACAC